UAGGUGGCGAGCGUUGUCCGGAUUUACUGGGUGUAAAGGGCGCGUAGGCGGGAGUGCAAGUCAGAUGUGAAAUCCAUUGGCUUAACCCAUGAACUGCAUUUGAAACUGUAUUUCUUGAGUGUCGGAGAGGUAGACGGAAUUCCUAGUGUAGCGGUGAAAUGCGUAGAUAUUAGGAGGAACACCAGUGGCGAAGGCGGUCUACUGGACGAUAACUGACGCUGAGGCGCGAAAGCGUGGGGAGCAAA
rnacentral:rRNA from 1 species